rnacentral:rRNA from 1 species
AGUGAACGCUGGCGGCAGGCCUAACACAUGCAAGUCGAGCGGCAGCGCGGGGGCAACCCUGGCGGCGAGCGGCGGACGGGUGAGGAAUACAUCGGAAUCUACCCAGUCGUGGGGGAUAACGUAGGGAAACUUACGCUAAUACCGCAUACGAACUACGGUUGAAAGCGGCGGACCGCAAGGCGUCGCGCGAUUGGAUGAGCCGAUGUCCGAUUAGCUAGUUGGCGGGGUAAAGGCCCACCAAGGCGACGAUCGGUAGCUGGUCUGAGAGGAUGAGCAGCCAGACUGGAACUGAGACACGGUCCAGACUCCUACGGGAGGCAGCAGUGGGGAAUAUUGGACAAUGGGCGCAAGCCUGAUCCAGCCAUGCCGCGUGUGUGAAGAAGGCCUUCGGGUUGUAAAGCACUUUUGUUGGGGAAGAAAAGGCAGCGGUUAAUACCCGCGGUUUCUGACGGUACCCAAAGAAUAAGCACCGGCUAACUUCGUGCCAGCCGCCGCAGUAACAC